AGCCGUGGACAGCCAGAUUCGACUUCGGCCUCUUCGCACCGCCCAGAUCCGAUUCCAGUCUCCCACACCGAAGUUGCCCGCGUUCGAGCCGCUUCGUCCGAACCGACCAGCGUCGCUCUAGACGCGUCUACACUGAAGCCACCACCGCUAGCGCCACUUUUCUUUUUCAAUCGACUAGAUCUGCGUCGGAUUCCUCCUGUUUCCGCCGUCGUUGCUUGUGCCGUCAUCAGAUUUAUCAACUUGGGUAAGAGUAGGGACGCGCUGGCGAAUGACAAGCAAAAUCCAUGAUCGAGCCACUAGGAUCAAUUUUUUUAUGCUUCCGCAAAUAAGACAGAUUUUUUUUCAUGUUUUUGCUAAAUUUUCAGUUUUGAUGUUUGUAACUUAUUAUUGAGAAUUGUUUUUCAUACUUAUUUAUUAACCUUAUGAUUUAUGGGUACCUUAUUAUUGUUUUUAA